GAUGAACGCUGGCGGCGUGCCUAAUACAUGCAAGUCGAGCGAACGGACGAGAAGCUUGCUUCUCUGAUGUUAGCGGCGGACGGGUGAGUAACACGUGGAUAACCUACCUAUAAGACUGGGAUAACUUCGGGAAACCGGAGCUAAUACCGGAUAAUAUUUUGAACCGCAUGGUUCAAAAGUGAAAGACGGUCUUGCUGUCACUUAUAGAUGGAUCCGCGCUGCAUUAGCUAGUUGGUAAGGUAACGGCUUACCAAGGCAACGAUGCAUAGCCGACCUGAAAGGGGAUUGGCCACACUGGAACUGAGACACGGUCCAGACUCCUACGGGAGGCAGCAGUAGGGAAUCUUCCGCAAUGGGCGAAAGCCUGACGGAGCAACGCUGCGUGAGUGAUGAAGGUCUUCGGAUCGUAAAACUCUGUUAUUAGGGAAGAACAUAUGUGUAAGUAACUGUGCACAUCUUGACGGUACCUAAUCAGAAAGCCACGGCUAACUACGUG
rnacentral:rRNA from 1 species